rnacentral:rRNA from 1 species
AGAGUUUGAUCCUGGCUCAGAGUGAACGCUGGCGGUAGGCCUAACACAUGCAAGUCGAACGGCAGCACAGGAGAGCUUGCUCUCUGGGUGGCGAGUGGCGGACGGGUGAGGAAUACAUCGGAAUCUACCUUUUCGUGGGGGAUAACGUAGGGAAACUUACGCUAAUACCGCAUACGUCCUAAGGGAGAAAGUGGGGGAUCGCAAGACCUCACGCGGAUAGAUGAGCCGAUGUCGGAUUAGCUAGUUGGCGGGGUAAAGGCCCACCAAGGCGACGAUCCG